GGAGGAGGCGGCUUCCCUGCAGGGCGGUGCUCGGAGGGUUCGGUGCUUUCCAGACGUGAUUCCUGCUCGGUUCGAACGCCCCCACCCCUCCCAGUUUAAGCUUUCCUUCCCGUUUCUCUUUUAUCUGCUCACAAGGGAUAACCUGAAUCCGCCGUAGCCCCGUGCGCUGUGCUGGCGGCCGGGCGUGCUGUGACUGGAAGAGCAGACAGCUGGGGCUGUCCCGGCCAGAGCAAGCGGGGCAAACCCCACGCCUGUUUGAUCCUCCUUAACUAGAAGUGGCCAUUUUUAGCGGCCCCAGGGCCAGCAUAGCCGCAGGUGUUGGGCCUUGGGCUCGUUGCCCUGUACUGUGACUCAGUCCUUUCUUGUUGCUGGCUGACUUUGGCAGAAGCCUCACCAAGCAAGAAGUAGCAUCAAGUCAGAGGAAGCUGUGACUCAGAGGCCGAUGAAUCACUCCUGCUCCAGAUUACACGGCUUUUUUCCUCCUCCUGGGCCUCCAACACGGACUGAGGAGCUCACAGAGACAUUGGUGAGAAAUCUUUUAAAGCUGGAACGAGACCUGAACAUUUGGGAAACACUGCAGUGACUGGUGGUGAAAACACUGCUGUAACACAUCGGUGCUCCACGAGCAGGGCUCUGUGUCCCACCGGACCCAUGGGAUCUGCCAGCACAUGGCCUAUUUUUAACCCAAAACACGCAGUCCCCCAGGAUGUUGUGUUUUCAACCCACAUCCGUGCACCCUCACCCCCCUCAGAGCCUCACUGCAGCAAAAUUCCCCAUUUUCCCCCCUCCAGCACAGAGCAGAGCUGUUGCUCACGGGCACACCUUCCCCUCUGCUCUGUUUGCACACUGUGGCCCAGCUCAAAGUAAGCAAUGGAAAACUCUGCUCGCAGGGAAACAUUCCUCUCAUUUUUCCCCGAUGCUUCUGCCUUUUCCCUCCUUCUCCCCCUCCCAGCAAAAAGAAAGGAGAAAAAGAAAAAA